GACGAACGCUGGCGGCGUGCUUAACACAUGCAAGUCGAACGGAAAGGCCCUGCUUUUGUGGGGUGCUCGAGUGGCGAACGGGUGAGUGACACGUGAGUAACCUGCCCUUGACUUUGGGAUAACUUCAGGAAACUGGGGCUAAUACCGGAUAGGAGCUCCUGCUGCAUGGUGGGGGUUGGAAAGUUUCGGCGGUUGGGGAUGGACUCGCGGCUUAUCAGCUUGUUGGUGGGGUAGUGGCUUACCAAGGCUUUGACGGGUAGCCGGCCUGAGAGGGUGACCGGCCACAUUGGGACUGAGAUACGGCCCAGACUCCUACGGGAGGCAGCAGUGGGGAAUAUUGCACAAUGGGCGGAAGCCUGAUGCAGCAACGCCGCGUGCGGGAUGACGGCCUUCGGGUUGUAAACCGCUUUCGCCUGUGACGAAGCGUGAGUGACGGUAAUGGGUAAAGAAGCACCGGCUAACUACGU
rnacentral:rRNA from 1 species